UACGAAGGGGGCUAGCGUUGCUCGGAAUCACUGGGCGUAAAGCGCACGUAGGCGGGUCGUUAAGUCAGGGGUGAAAUCCUGGAGCUCAACUCCAGAACUGCCUUUGAUACUGAAGAUCUUGAGUUCGGGAGAGGUGAGUGGAACUGCGAGUGUAGAGGUGAAAUUCGUAGAUAUUCGCAAGAACACCAGUGGCGAAGGCGGCUCACUGGCCCGAUACUGACGCUGAGGCACGAAAGCGUGGGGAGCAAACAGG
rnacentral:rRNA from 1 species